rnacentral:piRNA from 7 species
UGGUUCAGUGGUAGAAUUCUCGCCUG